UCACAGGAGGUCAGUGGAAAUAAGAGCUGAGAUGCCCUGGGGGCUGGGCCGGAAGGCUCUGCUGGUGAGCCCGGGGCCCCAACCUCAGACAGACACAUCUCAAAUCCACUGUGCUUCUGGACAAACUAUAUUUAUGUCCGCCCUGUCUGGGGGCAGGGGUCAGCAAACUAUGGCAAACUGAAAAAUGUCUUCUUACACUUUUAAAUGAUUGAAAGAAACAUACAACAUUUUGUAAGACCUGAGAAUCAUCCACAUUCACAUUUCAGCAUCCAUAAAUAAAAGUUUCUGGGAACACAGCCACAUUCAUUCAUUUGCAUCCUGUCUGGGGCUGCUCUCCAGGGCGGAGCGAAGUACUUGCUACAAACUCUGUGCCGCCACAACACCUAAAGUAUUUACUCUCUGGCCCUAGGCAGGAAAAGCUUUCAGAGCCCUGCUCUGGGGUUAGGAUGGCUUCUAGGGCCAACCCCCAUCCGCACAGCCCGCAUGGGAGGGUGAAGCCAAGCCUGGGGGCACUGGAUUUUCUUCAGGUUGGGGCUGGCCUGGAGCUGCCCGUCUGCCGGCCUCCUUGCAGACCUGGGGGGCUUUCUUGUAUUUGAGUAGAGAGGAGUGAGGCAAGAUUCGCAGCGGAGAAGAUUCAGCCUCAGCAAUCUGUGUCCUGUCUCCAGGCUGUGCUUUGGCAACUCUGUGCCCAGGGAGACACUCUGCUUCGUCAACUUGGUUACUUCCUGUGCUGUGGAUCAGAGAAGUUGUCCUGGAGAUGUCCUCCGACUGCAAGAGAAGUCAUCAUCUGUGUCCUGAGAAGUCAGCAAGCAUCCUUGGCUAAGCCUCAGAGAUGCAGCAGCCACAGCCAGGAGAAGUGUGCGGGCUUGCAGAAAAGUCCAGAAGCUGCAUUUCAUCAAGGCCAGGCUUGGGGUGAAGGCAGUGGGUUAUGUUGUGUGAGGGAAGGGUUAGAUCCCAUCAUUGUUUUAGUUAUUACAAUUUGAUGUUCCUUUCAUCAUGAUUUCUUUACAUUAAUUUUGGAUUUUUAAAAAUAUUGCACUAAAGUAUUAUUUACCUUGAUUACUCGUAUUUUGGCCUUCCCUUCCAUUUGGCAUCUGAGGGGUGCAUCUCACUUUGUUCACCCCAGUCCCAGCCCUGUGAGGAAGCAGCAGUUUCUGGACUUUUCUGCAAACCCCAUACUUUGUGCAUGGGAACUUACCCCCUCAGUUGGUUUUUCUCUUGCAUCUGGGAGAGCCAGGAGCUCAGGAGCUGGAGCCCAGAGUGUGUCUGCCUCCAAUAAAUUCUCUUCCAGAGCCUCCUUCA
rnacentral:lncRNA from 12 species